rnacentral:rRNA from 1 species
GCGCCCGUCCCGCCGCCCCCGCCCGCCUACGGGAGGCAGCAGUAGGGAAUCUUCGGCAAUGGACGAAAGUCUGACCGAGCAACGCCGCGUGAGUGAUGAAGGUUUUCGGAUCGUAAAGCUCUGUUGCCCGAGACGAACGCUAUGGAGAGUAACUGCUCUGUAGGUGACGGUAUCGGAGAAGAAAGCCCCGGCUAACUACGUGCCAGCAGCCGCGGUAAUACGUAGGGGGCAAGCGUUGUCCGGAAUUAUUGGGCGUAAAGCGCGCGCAGGCGGCUCUUUAAGUCAGGUGUCUAAGCCCGAAGCUCAACUUCGGUACGCACCUGAAACUGGAGGGCUUGAGUGCAGUAGAGGAGAGCGGAAUUCCACGUGUAGCGGUGAAAUGCGUAGAGAUGUGGAGGAACACCAGUGGCGAAGGCGGCUCUCUGGCCUGUAACUGACGCUGAGGCGCGAA